UCUUAAGCCUUGUUCCUUGUUCCCACAGC
rnacentral:piRNA from 1 species